rnacentral:rRNA from 1 species
CGUAGGGUGCGAGCGUUAAUCGGAAUUACUGGGCGUAAAGCGUGCGCAGGCGGUUUUGUAAGCCAGAUGUGAAAGCCCCGGGCUUAACCUGGGAAUGGCAUUUGGGACUGCAAGGCUUGAGUGCGGCAGAGGAGACUGGAAUUCCUGGUGUAGCAGUGAAAUGCGUAGAUAUCAGGAGGAAUACCGAUGGCGAAGGCAGGUCUCUGGGCUGACACUGACGCUCAUGCACGAAAGCGUGGGGAGCAAACAGG